rnacentral:RNase_P_RNA from 1 species
AGCGGGCUGAACAGUCGCGUACAUGGUUAUGUAUGAGGAAAGUCCGAGCUUCACAGGGCAGGAUAACGGCUAACGGCCGCCGGGGGUGACCCUAGGGAAAGUGCAACAGAGAUAUACCGCCGCAAAGCUUUGGAAUCCUUCCAUUGAGAGCGCCUUUUGGCGCCGCCUUUGCGGUAAGGGUGGAAAGGCGAGGUAAGAGCUCACCGGCACACAGGAGACUGUGUGGCCCUGCAAACCCUAUCCGAAGCAACGCCGACUGGGGCAAUACAUCGGCCCGAUGUGCUCCGACGGGCGGCUUGAGCUGUAUGGCAACAUGCAGUCGAGAUAGAUGACUGUUCACGACAGAACUCGGCUUAUAGGCCCGCUCA